rnacentral:rRNA from 1 species
GACGAACGCUGGCGGCGUGCUUAACACAUGCAAGUCGAACGAAGAGCGAUGGAAGCUUGCUUCUAUCAAUCUUAGUGGCGAACGGGUGAGUAACGCGUAAUCAACCUGCCCUUCAGAGGGGGACAACAGUUGGAAACGACUGCUAAUACCGCAUACGAUCUAAUCUCGGCAUCGAGGAUAGAUGAAAGGUGGCCUCUACAUGUAAGCUAUCACUGAAGGAGGGGAUUGCGUCUGAUUAGCUAGUUGGAGGGGUAACGGCCCACCAAGGCGAUGAUCAGUAGCCGGUCUGAGAGGAUGAACGGCCACAUUGGGACUGAGACACGGCCCAGACUCCUACGGGAGGCAGCAGUGGGGAAUCUUCCGCAAUGGACGAAAGUCUGACGGAGCAACGCCGCGUGAGUGAUGACGGCCUUCGGGUUGUAAAGCUCUGUUAAUCGGGACGAAAGGCCUUCUUGCGAAUAGUUAGAAGGAUGACGGUACC